UACGUAGGGUGCGAGCGUUAAUCGGAAUUACUGGGCGUAAAGCGUGCGCAGGCGGUUUUGUAAGCCAGAUGUGAAAUCCCCGGGCUACCACUGGGAAUGGCAUUUGGGACUGCAAGGCUUGAGUGCGGCAGAGGAGACUGGAAUUCCUGGUGUAGCAGUGAAAUGCGUAGAUAUCAGGAGGAAUACCGAUGGCGAAGGCAGGUCUCUGGGCUGACACUGACGCUCAUGCACGAAAGCGUGGGGAGCAAACAGG
rnacentral:rRNA from 1 species